UAUGAUAGAGUCAAUUGAGCAGUCACACGUAUGUACGUGUCAAUUUUCGUAAAACAAAUUCGUCGCGAUAAAGCAUCUAAGUCUAAUUCUAAGAACUCGAUGUUGUUUGUUCGUGUGAACUACGUGUCUGGAAAUUACUAUUUCAUAUGUAUAGGUUGCAAAGUUUUCAUAUUAAGCAAAUGUUGUCACGACUUGACAGCUAAGACGCCAUGUUACACUAAGAAAUGGAUUUUCGAAUCGGAGAAAGAGAAAAAAGUAUUUCUUAUACAAAAAUUAUAUGUGCUUACGUCGUGAUGUAUUGUCUGUGACGCAUACUCAUUUCCUGCAUUUUGUAUCAUAACGUGGAUAUACCCUUGUAAAAAAUGCGCAGUAGUGCUUAGUAAUAUUUUUCUACAAGAUUUUAACAUCCUAAAAGACAUUUUACGUCCACUGGAUAAAAACAGAAUGAAAUUUAUCCAGAAACACAUCCUAAUGUUUUUUCAGGUACGUACUCUGGAUGUUUGAAAAUCCCUCGACAUAACAUCUGUAAGAUAUACCUAGGAUCAAUUUUUACUGUGUGGGAUGUGAGAACACAAUCAAUAAACUAGAAAUUAAAUGCCUAUAAC